AGUUUGAUCCUGGCUCAGGAUGAACGCUAGCGGCAGGCUUAAUACAUGCAAGUCGAGGGGCAGCGGGGGUAGCAAUACCUGCCGGCGACCGGCAAACGGGUGCGGAACACGUACGCAACUUUCCCAAAACUGGUGAAUAGCCUUCCGAAAGGGAGAUUAAUACACCGUAAGUUAAUGAGGUGGCAUCACUUUAUUAAUAUAGCUCCGGCGGUUUUGGAUGGGCGUGCGGCUGAUUAGGUAGUUGGCGGGGUAACGGCCCACCAAGCCUGCGAUCAGUAACUGGUGUGAGAGCACGACCAGUCACACGGGCACUGAGACACGGGCCCGACUCCUACGGGAGGCAGCAGUAAGGAAUAUUGGUCAAUGGACGCAAGUCUGAACCAGCCAUGCCGCGUGCAGGAUGAAGGCCCUCUGGGUUGUAAACUGCUUUUAUAGGGGACGAAAAAGGGACUUUCUAGUUCAACUGACGGUACCCUAGGAAUAAGCACCGGCUAACUCCGUGCCAGCAGCCGCGGUAAUACGGAGGGUGCAAGCGUUAUCCGGAUUUACUGGGUUUAAAGGGUGCGUAGGUGGGUCGGUAAGUCAGCGGUGAAAUCUUCGAGCUUAACUCGGAAACUGCCAUUGAUACUAUCGAUCUUGAAUCAUCUAGAGGUAAGCGGAAUAUGUCAUGUAGCGGUGAAAUGCUUAGAUAUGACAUAGAACACCAAUUGCGAAGGCAGCUUACUAUGGAUGUAUUGACACUGAGGCACGAAAGCGUGGGGAUCAAACAGGAUUAGAUACCCUGGUAGUCCACGCCCUAAACGAUGGAUACUCGACAUCAGCGAUACACUGUUGGUGUCUGAGCGAAAGCAUUAAGUAUCCCACCUGGGAAGUACGAUCGCAAGAUUGAAACUCAAAGGAAUUGACGGGGGCCCGCACAAGCGGAGGAGCAUGUGGUUUAAUUCGAUGAUACGCGAGGAACCUUACCCGGGCUUGAAAGUUACUGAAGAAUUUAGAGAUAGAUUCGUCCUUCGGGACAGGAAACUAGGUGCUGCAUGGCUGUCGUCAGCUCGUG
rnacentral:rRNA from 1 species